rnacentral:misc_RNA from 1 species
GAUGAAGAACGUAGCGAAAUGCGAUACUAGGUGUGAAUUGCAGAAUCCCGUGAACCAUCGAGUCUUUGAACGCAAGUUGCGCCUCAAGCCAUUAGGUUGAGGGCACGUCUGCCUGGGCGUCACAUAUCGUUGCCUGAUGCCAGUUUCCUCGUGAUGGGUGACUGUGCAGGGCGAAUGAUGGCUUCCCGUGAGCAUUGUUGCCUCAUGGUUGGUUGAAAAUUGAGUCCUUGGUAGGGAGCGCCGUGAUAGAUGGUGGUUGAGUGACGAACGAGACCCAAUCAUGUGAGACCCCUACCGAAUUUGGCCUUCAUGACCCACAUGCGUCUUUGGAACGCUCAUGACGAGACCUCAGGUCAGGCGGGGCUACCCGCUGAGUUUAAGCAUAUCAAUAAGCGGAGGA